CCGAUACACAGACGGAGGUGUGGAAGAAAAAAAAUAUCUAAAGGUUGAACCAGAGCUCCCCGAAUAAUACACGUCCACCUUGACCCACCAAAGCCCUACCAUGAACCGAGCAAGAGUAACCCGUAAACACACACCCGCAUGGUAAUUAAAGGCACAGCAGUUAGCCAAACAAUUUGGCAAGGAGCGACGCCACCUCAGUUAUAUCACCAAACACAGAAACCCUCCUGCAGUUAACAGGGAGCCGAGCCAGGAACCAAACCCCAAACGCCACCACAAGGGCACUAACACACAGUUGGCAAAGGGAACAUAGACACCACAAAUAGGGUACGGAGCAACGAGCCAAGCAACCCCACAACACAAUUAGAAAAAAACACUUGUGGGGCAUGAGACUGACCCUUAAUAGAAGGGAGCUUUAGGAGGGAAACAAGCUUACCCACCCGUUCAUAUCCCUAAACCCUCCCCUUUUCUGUACCCUCUCCCCAUCCCACUAAGCCAACGUAAGGUAGUACUUGUCGAAUUAUGUAAGUCGUUGAGAUGCAGAUCAAGG